AUAUAUAAUGGGUACUUGAUAGUAAUUUUCUUUGUUAAAAAAAGACAUUUUAGGACAUUGAUUUCAAAGAUGCCAUGAAAGCAUGAAGGAUUUCGACGGAGAAAGGUCAAGGGUUGGUAUCAGUUAAUAAGAUUGUAAGUCGUUCUCGCAGUUUAAGGAGAGUAUACCGAGCAGGCAUUGUUAUUAGAAGAAGCUAAUAAGGGUAAUUAAAGGAAACAUGAAGGAAUGAAUGAGAGAUGCUGAGAAUUGGCUUCUGUAUCAGUCGAAAUAAAUCAACGUGACAUGGUAAUAUAGAUCAACUGACCAUGAAGGUAGCAGCAUUGUGUAAGAGAAGAUGGAGCUAACACGGCGGUGGCGGUGGUGGUGAAGCUACCAGUGUUCACUUUGCAUGAUAUAUUUUGCCACGUGGUUGUUGUUCUCUAGUUAGCUUACACAUUUUUUUUUAUAAAGGUCUAGUUAGCUUACACAUAUUGUAACAUAUCUUAUCUAGUUAUCUUAUACUUGUACUCUUCUUCAUCGAAUUAAUAAAAUUCAGAAGUUGACAGAAAAAUGAUUAGUGACAGAAGUAUCUCUUUGGCUGUCACAUUGGAAAAUGGACAUGCUUAAAAUAGAAGUAUUUUCUUUAUUUACUUGAGAUUAUGGGGUUGUCGCAUCUUGUUUGUGAUUUGAUUAGAUACUCUUUCUUCAUCUGGUUUCUCACUUUGAGCAACAAUGGCAGCAAUGAUGAUAGUUGACUUUCAAAACUACUUCAUCUUUAUCCUUCUAUGCCUCUUCUCACUCCUCUGUUACACUCUCUUCUUCAGGAAACAAAAGGACUCACGACUUGGCUUUGAUCUGCCUCCAAGCCCUCCUUCUCUACCAAUCAUUGGCCACCUUCACAUCAUCCUCUCUCUUCUAAUCCACAAAUCUUUACAGAAACUCGCAUCUAAGCACGGACCUCUCCUCCAUCUCCGCAUCUUCAGCCUCCCUAUAGUCCUCGUCUCCUCUGCUUCAGUGGCUGACGAGAUCUUCAAAGCUCAAGACGUGAACGUCUCCUCUCGCAGCAGCCUCCCUACUAGCGAGGGCUCCCUCUACUUUGGAUCUUUUGGCUUUGUUACCGCGCCUCAUGGAGAUUACUGGAAAUUUAUGAAGAAGCUCAUCACCACCAAGCUCCUCGGAUCACAGGCACUCGAGAGGUCACGAGGCAUCCGUGCUGAUGAGGCAAAGCUGUUUUACUCUAACCUCCUAGACAAGGCGAUGAAGGAUGAGAGGGUUAAUAUACGUGAAGAAGCGAUGAAACUAACUAACAACAGCAUGUGCAAGAUACUCACGAGGAGGAUUUGUUUAGAGGAUGCGGAGAGAGUCAGAGGCUUAGUGGCCAGGACAGAUUCCUUGUCGAAGAAACUUCUCUUGGCGUCUGUCUUGCGCAGACCGCUUGAGAAGCUUGGGAUCUCACUUUUUAAAAAGGAGCUAAUGUGUGUUUCCAGCAGGUUCGAUGAGGUACUAGAGAGGUACCUUGUGGAACACGAAAAGAAACAGGAGGAGCAAGCAGAGACAAUGCUACAUGGAGUAAAGAUCCGCCACUCGGAGCAAGGUGUGGAUGUGAUGGAUGUGUUGAUAGAAGCAUAUAGAGACGAAAACGCAGAGUAUAAGAUCACUAGGAACCAUAUCAAGUCCUUGUUAGUGGAUCUUUUCAUUGCAGGCAGUGAAACUACGUCCAACAUUAUAGAAUGGACCAUGGCGGAGCUCAUAAACAAUCCCAAGACUCUUGAGAGAUUAAGAGGAGAAAUCGAUUUGGUUAUAGGGAAAACAAGGUUGAUUCAAGAAACUGAUCUACCAAACCUUCCUUACUUGCAAGCAGUCAUGAAGGAAGGGCUGAGAUUGCACCCACCGGUGCCUCUUGUGGUAAGAACUUUCCAAGAAGAGUGUGAGGUUAAGGGGUUCCACAUACCGGAGAAGACAACACUUGUUGUCAAUGGUUAUGCUGUAAUGAGAGAUCCUGAUGUCUGGGAAGAUCCUGAUGAGUUUAAGCCAGAGAGGUUCUUGGUUUCAUCAACAUCCGGACAACAAGAGGACAAGAUUAGGGAGAAGGUUCCCAAGUACAUUCCUUUCGGAAGUGGAAGGAGAGGUUGUCCUGGAUCAAACCUAGCAUAUCUCUUCCUAGGAAUAGCUGUUGGAGUGAUGGUGCAGUGUUUUGAUUGGAGAAUCAAGGAAGAGAAAGUUAAUAUGGAUGAAGCUGCUGGUGCAGUUUCUUUGAGAAGGGCUCAUCCAGUUCACGCCACUCCUGUUGCUCGAAACCGAGACCUUUUAACUUAACUUGUAGACUUGCUUUCUCUUGCUUUUUUAAAAAAAAUCUGAUGAUUGAACAUGUGUUCCCGGUUUGUUGUUUACCAUAGGUUUUGUUAGCCUUAUUCAGUUAUUUGGAUAACAAAAGCUAUCGUUGGUUUUGUUAAUUACCAUCAAAUAAUAAAUCUGUAAGCAGUUUAUUUUGGAGUGUACCUCGUCAAAACCCAUGGCGACUUUCUUCUCCUCGUCAAUGAAGAAACAAUUACAUGAAAUCAGAGGGUUAAUCACUCUCAAGAACUUGCUCCGCGACACCUCUUCAGCCUCAAUCUUAGUAGUAAUCCACAUCUCAAACUCCUCUGAACCUGCUUCGUCGUGACUGAAUAAAACCGCAAGCUUCUCUUCUCGAACACAUGAUAAAGUCACAGGGUUAUGAUAAGCAGCGUCAAACGGCAGACGCAUAAGAGGACCAAAACUCUCGCUUGUAAUAUCGAAACAGAUUAUGUGAUUUUCUUCUCGAUAUAUGUUCCUUGGUGAAGCAGGCCAGUAAGUGUUUACCUUGAGAGACACGCCACGCUGAUGAAAAUUUAUAACCUAGUGUGGAGUAACAUCUAGACUCUUUCACUAACUAGACUCGAAAUCGUAAAUCUCGUACCAUAAAAAGUGGUCUUUGACCGCAUGUCAACGCAGUGAUCUAUAUACCUCAAGAACUUGUAGGCACGACAAGAACUGGAGCCGCCUUUGUCCUCGUACCCUAGAGCGUAACUGAACCAUUAAUUAUGAAUGGAUAGUAACCACCAGCUGAAACUGUUGUGAUUUAAAAACUUAGAACGAUCUGCAGAAAAAUCUUUCUUGGAUUCACAAGCAUUGUAAUUGAUUUUGCGCUAAACAUUUCUUUUGGCAAUGAGGAUCUCUAUGGUUGUUUCCCAAUUCCAAUGAGUCUAUAGUUGUGCAUGGUUCUGUCUCGUUCAACAAGUUUCAGAUCUUCCCAAGUAGCGAAACUUGUGUUCUGUUGAUGUUUAUUAUAGACAAUCUUUAUCAUUGGGGAAUCAUGUUCGGUGGUUCAAAUUGCAGGGCUCUAUGCAUGGCGAAGUCUCUUGAGUUUUCGUCACUCAUGGUCUUCUCCAACAAUUCAACGCUCAUCAGAGCUAUUUCCGACAACUGGAAGUAAAGAAAUCAUCGGAAUCAUUUCAGACUAUCGUUCGAUCUCUUCUAGUUUUGCAACAAUCAUGUUUUCUCGCUUUUUUAGAUCGGAAAACUUGUUUGCCUACAAUUUAGCUAAACAGGCCUUAGAGGUCUUUUCUUCUUUGUACUGAACUCUUUGAGGUUGGGCCAUCGUUUUGGAUCUCUUCUCCUCUUUCUAUUUUAAUAAAAAAAUUCUGUGACAAAAAAAAAA